AUUGAACGCUGGCGGCAUGCUUUACACAUGCAAGUCGAGCGGCAGCGCGGGGGCAACCCUGGCGGCGAGCGGCGAACGGGUGAGUAAUGCAUCGGAACGUAUCCUCGAGUGGGGGAUAACCCAGCGAAAGUUGGGCUAAUACCGCAUGAGCUCUGAGGAGGAAAGCGGGGGACCUGCGAGGGCCUCGCGCUGGAGGAGCGGCCGAUGUCCGAUUAGCUAGUUGGUGGGGUAAAGGCUUACCAAGGCGACGAUCGGUAGCUGGUCUGAGAGGAUGAUCAGCCACACUGGGACUGAGACACGGACCAGACUCCUACGGGAGGCAGCAGUGGGGAAUUUUGGACAAAGGGGGCAACCCUGAUCCAGCCAUGCCGCGUGAGUGAAGAAGGCCUUCGGGUUGUAAAGCUCUUUCGGACGGAACGAAAUGGGCGGGACUAAUACUCCUGUCUGAUGACGGUACCGUAAGAAGAAGCACCGGCUAACUACGUG
rnacentral:rRNA from 1 species